rnacentral:rRNA from 1 species
CCCUUAGAUGUUCUGGGCUGCACGCGUGCUACAAUGGCGCUUGCAACAAGUCUUGCCAACCCGAUAGGGUGAGCGGAUCUUUGAAGAGGCGUCGUGAUCGGGACAGUUGAUUGCAAUUAUUCGACUCGAACGAGGAAUUCCUUGUAAUCGCGAUUCAUCAUAUCGCGCUGAAUACGUCCCUGCCCUUUGUACACACCGCCCGUCGCUCCUACCGAUUGAGCGAUCCGGUGAAUGUUUUGGACUGGCGUCAGAAGCGGUUCGCUCCUGACACUACGAAAUUUUGUAAACCUUAUCGCUUAGGGGAAGGAAAAGUCGUAACA